GGAGAUGCUGUGGCUCAGUGGUAGAGUGCCUCCUUGGCAUGCAGGUGGUCCCAGGUUCGAUUCCUGGCAUCUCCU